UACGGAGGGGGCGAGCGUUAUUCGGAAUUAUUGGGCGUAAAGGGCGCGUAGGCGGGUCUUUUAAGUCAGGGGUGAAAUCCUGGAGCUCAACUCCAGAACUGCCUUUGAUACUGAAGAUCUUGAGUUCGGGAGAGGUGAGUGGAACUGCGAGUGUAGAGGUGAAAUUCGUAGAUAUUCGCAAGAACACCAGUGGCGAAGGCGGCUCACUGGCCCGAUACUGACGCUGAGGCACGAAAGCGUGGGGAGCAAACAGG
rnacentral:rRNA from 1 species